AAAUAAUGCAUGAAUGAUGCACCGAUCUGACAGGAGCUCAGACAGACGUACUCUGAAGGCUGUUAUUGGGAUAAGGGUUUUGAGUUUCAAGGUUUUUUUGUUGUUCAUUCCAGUCAUUUGCACUGGAGAACUGGAAGGAGUGGCGGCCAAAGGAGGUGGGGCUUUUGGGGUGACCAAGGAGAUGUAACUGCUUGCAUGCAGGCUGGUGGGUAAAGCUCUGGUGACCAGUGAGUACAGCAGGGCUUUUGUCUAGUAAAUGAGUUGGUACCAGUAUGGAAGUCAACGUCUUCCACCUUGUGUAAAAUGUCAUAUGAUUUCUUGUUUACAUCUUCAACAAAUUUGUUUUUUCUCUAACUCCCAUGCUAAGUUGAUGCAGAUU